GCGAUCAUACCAGCACUAAUGCACCGGAUCCCAUCAGAACUCCGAAGUUAAGCGUGCUUGGGCGAGAGUAGUACUAGGAUGGGUGACCUCCUGGGAAGUCCUCGUGUUGCACCCC
rnacentral:rRNA from 2 species